UUGAACGCUGGCGGCAUGCUUUACACAUGCAAGUCGAACGGCAGCGGGGGCUUCGGCCUGCCGGCGAGUGGCGAACGGGUGAGUAAUGCAUCGGAACGUACCCAGUCGUGGGGGAUAACUACGCGAAAGCGUAGCUAAUACCGCAUACGCCCUGAGGGGGAAAGCGGGGGACCUUCGGGCCUCGCGCGAUUGGAGCGGCUGAUGUCGGAUUAGCUAGUUGGUGGGGUAAAGGCCUACCAAGGCGACGAUCCGUAGCUGGUCUGAGAGGAUGAUCAGCCACACUGGGACUGCGACACGGCCCAGACUCCUACGGGAGGCAGCAGUGGGGAAUUUUGGACAAUGGGCGCAAGCCUGAUCCAGCCAUGCCGCGUGAGUGAAGAAGGCCUUCGGGUUGUAAAGCUCUUUCAGCCGGAAAGAAAUUGGUUGUAUUAAUACUAUGAGUAGAUGACGGUACCGUAAGAAGAAGCACCGGCUAACUACGU
rnacentral:rRNA from 1 species